rnacentral:rRNA from 1 species
GAUGAACGCUGGCGGCGUGCCUAAUACAUGCAAGUCGAGCGAACGGACGAGAAGCUUGCUUCUCUGAUGUUAGCGGCGGACGGGUGAGUAACACGUGGAUAACCUACCUAUAAGACUGGGAUAACUUCGGGAAACCGGAGCUAAUACCGGAUGAUAUUUUGAACCGCAUGGUUCAAAAGUGAAAGACGGUCUUGCUGUCACUUAUAGAUGGAUCCGCGCUGCACUAGCUAGUUGGUAGGGUAACGGCUUACCAAGGCAACGAUGCAUAGCCGACCUGAGAGGGUGAUCGGCCACACUGGAACUGAGACACGGUCCAGACUCCUACGGGAGGCAGCAGUAGGGAAUCUUCCGCAAUGGGCGAAAGCCUGACGGAGCAACGCCGCGUGAGUGAUGAAGGUCUUCGGAUCGUAAAACUCUGUUAUUAGGGAAGAACAUAUGUGUAAGUAACUGUGCACAUCUUGACGGUACCUAAUCAGAAAGCCACGGCUAACUACGUG